GACGAACGCUGGCGGCGUGCUUAACACAUGCAAGUCGAACGAAGAGCGAUGGAAGCUUGCUUCUAUCAAUCUUAGUGGCGAACGGGUGAGUAACGCGUAAUCAACCUGCCCUUCAGAGGGGGACAACAGUUGGAAACGACUGCUAAUACCGCAUACGAUCUAAUCUCGGCAUCGAGGAUAGAUGAAAGGUGGCCUCUACAUGUAAGCUAUCACUGAAGGCGGGGAUUGCGUCUGAUUAGCUAGUUGGAGGGGUAACGGCCCACCAAGGCGAUGAUCAGUAGCCGGUCUGAGAGGAUGAACGGCCACAUUGGGACUGAGACACGGCCCAGACUCCUACGGGAGGCAGCAGUGGGGAAUCUUCCGCAAUGGACGAAAGUCUGACGGAGCAACGCCGUGUGAGCGAUGACGGCCUUCGGGUUGUAAAGCUCUGUUAAUCGGGACGAAAGGCCUUCUUGCGAAUAGUGAGAAGGAUUGACGGUACCGGAAUAGAAAGCCACGGCUAACUACGUG
rnacentral:rRNA from 1 species